GAUGAACGCUGACAGAAUGCUUAACACAUGCAAGUCUACUUGAAUUUGGGUUUUUAACUUAGGUUUGGGUGGCGGACGGGUGAGUAACGCGUAAAGAACUUGCCUCACAGCUAGGGACAACAUUUAGAAAUGAAUGCUAAUACCUAAUAUUAUGAUAAUAGGGCAUCCUAUAAUUAUGAAAGCUAUAUGCGCUGUGAGAGAGCUUUGUGUCCCAUUAGCUAGUUGGAGAGGUAACAGCUCACCAAGGCGAUGAUGGGUAGCCGGCCUGAGAGGGUGAUCGGCCACAAGGGGACUGAGACACGGCCCUUACUCCUACGGGAGGCAGCAGUGGGGAAUAUUGGACAAUGGACCGAGAGUCUGAUCCAGCAAUUCUGUGUGCACGAUGAAGUUUUUCGGAAUGUAAAGUGCUUUCAGUUGGGAAGAAAGAAAUGACGGUACCAACAGAAGAAGUGACGGCUAAAUACGUGCCAGCAGCCGCGGUAAUACGUAUGUCACGAGCGUUAUCCGGAUUUAUUGGGCGUAAAGCGCGUCUAGGUGGUUAUAUAAGUCUGAUGUGAAAAUGCAGGGCUCAACUCUGUAUUGCGUUGGAAACUGUAUAACUAGAGUACUGGAGAGGUAAGCGGAACUACAAGUGUAGAGGUGAAAUUCGUAGAUAUUUGUAGGAAUGCCGAUGGGGAAGCCAGCUUACUGGACAGAUACUGACGCUGAAGCGCGAAAGCGUGGGUAGCAAACAGG
rnacentral:rRNA from 1 species